CAGAAGGAUCCUCCUCGGAUCGUCACUGGUUGCACAACUGUUCCUGCAUGCGAAUCAGAUGCUGCGUGGAAACAUGGCUGGCAUGUAAAAUGGGUGUUAGUAAGGUGGUGAAACAAGCCUUUCUGCUUCUACAAAUGAGAAGCUUUGUGCAUUUUGGAUGAAGAGCCCCAACUCUUGUAGCCUGUCCUCAUAGCAGAGCUGCUCCAGCCUUCUGAUCAUCUUUGUAGCCUUCCUCUAGACUCACUCCAACAGUUCAAUGUCCUUCUUGUGUUGGGGGUUCCAGAACUGUACAGAGUGCUCCAGGUGGGGACUGAGGAGAGGAUAGUAAAGAGGGAGAAUCCCCUCCCUUGCUCUGCUGGAAUCUUGGCCUGAUCUCUACUAAUUGCAUGUUAGAUUUUGAGAUUAUUUUUCUUAACCAUUGUGUAUCCUAAUUUUGUUUCAGUGUUGGAAAGUGUUUGGUAAUUUGUAAGGGUAUGCUGUGUGAAACAAAUGUUCAAUAGAGUCUGUGUGCCUACAACUGUACUAAUAAAUCAGACAUUCAUCUGGCUGUUCUCUGGGUGCAAGGUCAGUAGGCAUGGAACAACUUCUAUGCCUACUAUCUGACCACUUUAAACUUUGAAAAAUAAAA